rnacentral:misc_RNA from 1 species
GUCGAGUGACAUACUGUAGCUUUCAGAAGUCGUAAAUUGUGAUUUUUUGAACGUAGCCGUCGGCGUACAUUUAACUGAGCCUAGCUUUCGUUUUUCUUUUUCAGCUCGGGAGGACAUAAUUCGCUAUUAUGGCACUCCUGCGGCUGUGAGUUUGUGGCCGUCUCAGGAUGAGGAGUCCGACUGUAAAAAACGAUCGCUUUUGCUCCGCUGACCUCUACGUUUUGCUCACUGCUGUAUCAUUCCAAGUGUUUCUUCUUCCAAGAUGAAUACAAGGCUUCACAUUCAAGCUCGGGAGGACAUAAUUCGCUAUUAUGGCACUCCUGCGGCUGUGAGUUUGUGGCCGUCUCAGGAUGAGGAGUCCGACUGUAAAAAACGAUCGCUUUUGCUCCGCUGACCUCUACGUUUUGCUCACUGCUGUAUCAUUCCAAGUGUUUCUUCUUCCAAGAUGAAUACAAGGCUUCACAUUCAAGCUCGGGAGGACAUAAUUCGCUAUUAUGGCACUCCUGCGGCUGUGAGUUUGUGGCCGUCUCAGGAUGAGGAGUCCGACUGUAAAAAACGAUCGCUUUUGCUCCGCUGACCUCUACGUUUUGCUCACUGCUGUAUCAUUCCAAGUGUUUCUUCUUCCAAGAUGAAUACAAGGCUUCACAUUCAAGGUAUUUAAGAUCACAAUUAUUCCACUUAACAGUAUUAAGAUGUUAAAUUAGACGUGAAAUUGGUCGUUGUUAGGCAGCUGUAUCGGGACUGAAGAUGGCGGCCGCCAUUUGCAAUUGUCUUAACUGAACAUUUUAGAUUGUAAACUUGACAUGUGGUGCUCAGAUGAAACCUGUUCGUACAUUAUAGUGUCGGGCGAUGUAGUACAGAUGUAAGAUAACCUGUAUUACGUGAAAAGCAGCUGUUUGGCCCAUUUUAUUGGUUAAACGU